GGCCCGUUGGUCAAGCGGUUAAGACACCGCCCUUUCACGGCGGUAACACGGGUUCGAGUCCCGUACGGGUCACUA
rnacentral:tRNA from 1 species